CGCCCCGCGGCCCCCGCGCUGCUGACGGCCCGGCUCAGGAGCGGGUGGCGGAGCUGGAGCGGGAGAUCGGGGCGGCGGAGGCGGAGAUGGCCCGGUGCCUGCGGGAGUACCCGGCACUGCUGAGGCUGCGGAUGGCGCUGGAGGCGGAGAUCGCCGCGUACCGGGAGAUGCUGGAGAGCGAGGAGCUGCGCCUGGGCGGCCUGGCCCCGCCGUGACCGGACCCCCGGAGCCCCGGUCCCACCACCGGAGCCCGGCCCUGCCGGUACCACUGGACCGCCGGGACCGGAUCCUCAGCCCCACCACCGGACCCCGGUUCCUCUGCCGGACCCCAGACCCCCGACACGGUUCCCUGGGACCCUCUGGACCUCUGUGGACUCACGGAGCCCCGGUCCUUCUAUCCCCCCGUUCCACGGGUCUCCCGGACUUGUGCGUGCCCGCCUGCCCCGGGACCCCCGGGAGGGCAGCGCCCGUGGGGACACACACUCACCAGCCUCUCCGGGGUGGGGGUCCCGGCCCAGACCCGUGCGGAAGCACCUCAAUAAAGCCCCGUGGCAUCA